UCCUACGGGAGGCAGCAGUGGGGAAUCUUGCGCAAUGGGCGAAAGCCUGACGCAGCAACGCCGCGUGGGGGAUGAAGGCUCUCGGGUUGUAAACCCCUUUCAGCAGGGACGAAAUUGACGGUACCUGCAGAAGAAGCCCCGGCUAACUACGUGCCAGCAGCCGCGGUAACACGUAGGGGGCAAGCGUUGUCCGGAUUUAUUGGGCGUAAAGAGCUCGUAGGCGGCUGAGUAAGUCGGGUGUCAAAUCUCCAGGCUCAACCUGGAGCUCCACCCGAUACUGCUCUGGCUAGAGUCCGGUAGGGAGCGUGGAAUUCCUGGUGUAGCGGUGAAAUGCGCAGAUAUCAGGAGGAACACCAGCGGCGAAGGCGGCGCUCUGGGCCGGAACUGACGCUGAGGAGCGAAAGCGUGGGUAGCAAACAGGAUUAGAUACCCUGGUAGUCCACGCCGUAAACGUUGGGCACUAGGUGUGGGGUCUAUUCAACGGACUCCGUGCCGUCGCUAACGCAUUAAGUUCCCCGCCUGGGGAGUACGGCCGCAAGGCUAAAACUCAAAGGAAUUGACGGGGGCCCGCACAAGCGGCGGAGCAUGUGGAUUAAUUCGAUGCAACGCGAGAACCUUACCAAGGCUUGACAUACACCGGAAACAUCCAGAGAUGGUGCCGCAAGGUCGGUGUACAGGUGGUGCAUGGUUGUCGUCAGCUCGUGUCGUGAGAUGUUGGGUUAAGUCCCGCAACGAGCGCAACCCUCGUUCCAUGUUGCCAGCAGCACUUUCGGGUGGCUGGGGACUCAUGGGAGACUGCCGGGGUCAACUCGGAGGAAGGUGGGGAUGACGUCAAAUCAUCAUGCUCCUUAUGUCUUGGGCUUCACACAUGCUACAAUGGCCGGUACAAAGGGCUGCGAUACCGCGAGGUGGAGCGAAUCCCAAAAAACCGGUCUCAGUUCGGAUUGGGGUCUGCAACUCGACCCCAUGAAGUCGGAGUCGCUAGUAAUCGCAGAUCAGCAACGCUGCGGUGAAUACGUUCCCGGGCCUUGUACACACCGCCAU
rnacentral:rRNA from 1 species